GAAGGCAAUCAGGAAGUGUUUGUGUAGCACACAUCUGUGUUAAUGAGCAGUAUGAGCUUGUCAGCUGUUCCCUCGGAUUUUUGGAGCACGGGCUCAAGUCACAUGCUGGUCAGAUGGCCAAGAGGAUAUUUAAAGGGACCCUGCUGAUGCCGCGCCUGCAGGUUACAGUCCUCCGGGUGCAGUGGUUCUAAACAGUUCAACAGUUCUCUAUCGACAUUGUGAAAUGUUUAGGACCACUUGAUCCGCAGGACACUGACCGCCAGAUAAGAGUUGUGAAUGUUGCUUUGGAAACUGCGUCUUGGCGUGGUUAGAUUUGCAUACUGUAAACUGGGUUACAUUUUAUUACAGAGACAGGUGUGCCAGUACUUUCCUAUUGUGUACAAACCAAUAAUACCUGUCCUCUGCCAAGCUGCUUCAGCUGCCCCUGAAACUGGCUACUUACAGGGAAACUGCCUUCCAAGUAUUUUACAAACAGGAGGUAGCUACACAGUUCAUCACUGCUGCUGCUAGCUCUUACAAAGAACCGGCACGUGUAGUCCGUCAUUCAGUCCAUUUCCUGUAAAUUUAUCUCCUGAUAUCUAUUCAACUCCCAUUUAAAAUUAUUUACGGCAUUUGCUUCAGUGUCUGAAAACUGAAUGGAAAAUGUCCUCAUCAUUUCCAAUCUCGAUGUUUUGGGAAUGUGUUUGAAUCUAGAUCCCUCUGGUUAUUGGUCCCUUACAGAGGGGAUAGUUUUUUCUAUAGUUAUCAAAUCCUCUGAUCUUGGAAUUAUGUUAACUUUGGCUUCUAAAAAGGAAGCUUCCAAUUGUUCCAAUAUUCCCAUGUAAACUAAAGUCCUUCAUUGCUGAUCACACCCUUGUUAAAACUUCCUUUGUGUCCUUUCUAAAGUUUUAUGUUUUUCAGACAUAUAGUUCUCAAUUGUCUGCGGCAUUCCAACUCUGUCCUGGCCAAUGAUUUAUGCAUUUCUAAUUUUUUUUUGUAGUGUAAAAUAUAUGUAUUUGUAAAAAUUCUGUUCUGUUGAACUAUUUUUGUGAUGGUUCAGGCAGUGACUUGCAUUUAAGUAGUUACCUUCGAUGCCUUUUUAUUUCUAGAGCUGCUGUACAGACCUGGAAGACCUGAAUUUUGAUUUCUAUUGUGUUCUGAGUUAGUUAGCAGGAGCAGUAGAGUUGGGUUUAGUUCCCCAUGAAUUGUAGAGGUGAAAAGCAGUUACAGUUCCCACAUCUCACUACUGUUACCCAACUUCUAAUGAAAUUUUAUAUGUUCUGUUAAGACAGAGGCAGCUAAGUUUCUCUUGCAUCUCAAAGAGACGUGAAAUGUCAAAGCGUUCAAAGGAAUAAUGAACUUGAUGUUGACUGUAAUGAUACCCAAAUAAUUUAAGUUGAUUUCUUCAAGAGGUGGGGAAAGGUUAAAUGAGAAAAUAAUAUUUGCUGCAAUUCACAUCUUUUAAUGAAAAUGAUAUACAAUAUGGUUCUUUUUUUUCCAAAAUGUGAUAUCUGUUCCAAACAAACUUUCCUGUUUUUUUUAAAAAGAAUUGAUAUGCAUGUUGUGAACUGGACAUUUUUUGAUUAUGAAUAUGACAUUAAAUGCAAAGCAAUAAAGAAAAAGAUGUAA